ACUCCAGUAACAUUUAUAUAAUACAAGGAUAAAUCAUUUUGAUUUACGGAUUCUUAAUUACAGAACAUAUAUUUUAGUUAAAUGAAUAAACCGAAUGUAGUAUUCCAAGGCGUGCGGUCCUGCUUGAUUGUUUCUUUUUGAAGACAUAUAAAACAUAACUUUAGUAAAUAGUUAUCAAAGGUACCAGGAUUAUAAUUUAAUACACCAGACGCGCGUUUUGUCUUCAUUAGACUCAUCAGUGACGAUCAGAUCUAAAUAGUUAUAAAGCCAAACAAGUACAAAGUUGAGGAGUAUUGGGCACUCAAAAUUCCAAAAAGUUGUGCAAAAUACGGCUAAAAUAAUC
rnacentral:lncRNA from 1 species